AGAAGUAUGAACUGUUGUAUUGCAUAGAGAAUGGGUACAAUAUAUAUACACAUGUAGUCUAACAUUCCCCCGCAGUCGCAACGGGGGCACCACACACGAUGAGACUGGAGUAGAGGCCGAAGGUAGGAGCUGACGGGUUGAAAUCCUCCCGCAGUCGCAGCGUCGUGAUGGUGCGAAUGUAGCAGCUGGAGUAGAGAUCGGUGUGUGCUCCAAGAAGACGAUAGCCCCUAGAUGCCGAGGUAGCCGAAGUCGAGGUGGUCGCGGUCGGGAGACACGCAACAGAAGCCUGUUCUUCGGGAGGGGUCGACGUUCGAGCGUCAACGGUCGGCAUGGCGACAUAACAAAAGAACACCGGCAGGCUGACCUUCCUGCUUCUUCGAUCGUCCGGGCGUCAAGGAGCCCCACCAGGGAGGCCGACGGCAGCGCACGCGUUUGCGCCGGUCAUGGUGUCCGCGCCCGCGACAGAAAAGGAGAAUGUCGGAUUCGGCCGGGAAGGCCACGACAGCGACAGAUCCGGACGGGAAGACGAGAUCCAGCCAAAGGGACGGCAGAUCGAGCCGAAAAGGUCGCAGCAACGUGGAUCCGGCCGGGAAAGCCGCGGCAGCGACGGAUCCAACGAAGGCGAUGAAGGGGGUGGGCGGCGAGGCGCGUCUAGCCGGGCAGGGGCCUGCGCCGGACCUGGCAAGGGAUGAUGACGACGCAGGCGCCGGGAGAAGCUUGAAGGGUGAGGCGCUGCUGGGCAUCAGCGCGAGCAGUUAGGAGGUGGCCAACGCGAUGAGGAGGGGCGGCACGUGCGAGGGUGCCGACGGAGGACACAACGAAGGGGAGGGUGCACGUGCGAGGGACGCAGCGAAGAGGAGGACGCCGACCAAGGGAGGCAGCCAUGGGGAACAGGGAACCGAGCAGAGGGGUUGCUCGUGCCCUGCCCCAUCUUGACGCGCGGGAAAUGGGGCUCAGGCGCCGAGCACCAUGGAUCCGAAGCUUGGCUGGUGACCUGGGAGAGGUAGCAACAGUGGGAAAGCUGGCUGGAGACCGCGACCGUCAUGGGGGUUGGAGGCAGAUCGCGGGGCGUCCGAGGGCUUGUGCCCGCCGAGCAGGGAGCCAGACGGCCGGAGAGGAAGCAGAGAGAGGAAGAGCAUCGGCUGUUGUAGAGGAAACAUGGAGAAGAUGGCGUGGGCGAGAGGGGCCAGGAUGGGGAGGUGGUGAAGGCCAUGACCUGGUGGAGGCCGAGCACCAAGGGGAGGUGAGGGAGGAGUUGGGACGACGGCCUCCAUGGCCGGCGAGGAGAGGAGCUCGGUGGAGGUCGGCGAGGAGGCCGGCUCGGUGGAGGAUGCAGUCGAGCCUGACUGCCACCGCCGCUGGCGGGGAUGUGCGCGCACGCCGGGGCCGG
rnacentral:misc_RNA from 1 species